rnacentral:pre_miRNA from 1 species
AUUUGUCGUACUACUCCAUCCAAAAUAAGUACACACUUUUCUUGUGCAAGUUUGAUUAUCCAUCUUAUUUUAAGUAAUUUUAUAAUUAUUAUUUUUAUUGUUAUUAGAUUAUAAAAUAUGAAUAAUAUUUUGUUCGUGUCUUAUGUUUUUUUAUUUUUUAAAAAAAUAUUUUAAAUAAGACGGACGAUGAAAAUUAGACGUGAGAACUUAUAGUUGUGCUUAUUUUAAGAUAGAGGAAGUACUAUAUUUU